rnacentral:rRNA from 1 species
GAUGAACGCUAGCGGCAGGCUUAAUACAUGCAAGUCGUACGGGAUCCGAGGUAGCAAUACUUUGGUGAGAGUGGCGCACGGGUGCGUAACACGUAUGCAACCUACCUAUAACCGGGACACAACCUUGAGAAAUUGAGGCUAAUAUCCCAUAACACUGCGCUGAGGCAUCUCGAAGCAGUUAAAACUCCGGUGGUAAUAGAUGGGCAUGCGCGACAUUAGCUAGUUGGUGAGGUAACGGCCCACCAAGGCUACGAUGUCUAGGGGUUCUGAGAGGAUUAUCCCCCACACUGGUACUGAGACACGGACCAGACUCCUACGGGUGGCAG